rnacentral:rRNA from 1 species
AUAAUUAUAAUUUAGGAAUUCGKCAAUUAUUAAUUUUACCUGUUUAAUAAAAACAUGUCUUUUUGGUAUUUAUUUAAGGUCAAGUCUGCCCAAUGAUUUUUAUUUAAUGGCUGCAGUAUUUUAACUGUACAAAGGUAGCAUAAUCAUUUGUUUAAUAAUUUUAGACUGGAAUGAAAGGCUUGAUAAGAGUUAAUCUUUCUUAUUUAUAUAAAUAAGAAAUUGUUUUUUAAGUUAAAAAACUUAAAUAUUUUUAUGGGACGAGAAGACCCUAUAGAACUUUAUAUAAAAUUUAAUUAAUUAAUUAAAUUUUAUAUUGAAUUGGGGUGAUUUUGAUUUUAAUAUAACAAUCAAUUUUAUUAUAUCAGUGAUCUUUGAUUUUUUGAUCCAAUUUUUUUGAUUAUUAGAUUAAGUUACCUUAGGGAUAACAGCGUAAUUUAUUUGGAGAGUUCUUAUCGAUAAUUUAAGUUUGCGACCUCGAUGUUGAAUUAAGAUAAAAAUUGGGAGUAGAUUCUUAUAUUUUUGGUCUGUUCGACCAUUAAUUUCUUACAUGAUUUGAGUUUAGACCGGUGUGAGCCAGGUCGGUUUCUAUCUUUAAUAAAUUUUUAUUUUUUAGUACGAAAGGACCAAAAAUUUAAUAAAUAUUUU